GAGAAUCUGAAUUUAGUUUUGAGCAUGCUAUACAAAGAGGUAUUUUUCCAUUGAGAUGUUCAUUUUGAAGAUAUGAUUCCAUCCUGAAAAUUGCUGUGCCUUAGUCUCCACUUUCAUUCGGCAAUGACAAAUGAGAAAUGCUUCUAUGAGAGAUGGAAAGAUCAUAUAUUUGAAUUUUUCUGAUAAAUAAACAAAUGUGCAUGAUUGUCCUGUCUGUGAUUUGAUAAGUAACACUGUUGUGAUUAAUUUAUAUAAUUCAACAUAAUAAGGAUAGAACUUAUGAAUGUUGGAUUACAUUUAGUAGCAACUAGCAAGUUAAUAGUGUAAAAU
rnacentral:misc_RNA from 1 species